CUACGGGUGGCAGCAGUAAGGAAUAUUGGGCAAUGGACGCAAGUCUGACCCAGCCAUGCCGCGUGCAGGAUGACAGCCCUACGGGUUGUAAACUGCUUUUAUACGGGAAAAAUUCCCUGGUCGUGCACCGGGGUUGAUGGUACCGUAAGAAUAAGCAUCGGCUAACUCCGUGCCAGCAGCCGCGGUAAUACGGAGGAUGCAAGCGUUAUCCGGAUUCAUUGGGUUUAAAGGGUGCGCAGGCGGAAUGAUAAGUCAGUGGUGAAAUCCUACGGCUCAACUGUAGAACUGCCAUUGAUACUGUUGUUCUUGAGUACAUUUGAAGUGGGCGGAAUGUGUCAUGUAGCGGUGAAAUGCUUAGAGAUGACACAGAACACCGAUUGCGAAGGCAGCUCACUAAACUGUAACUGACGCUGAGGCACGAAAGCGUGGGGAUCAAACAGGAUUAGAUACCCUUGUAGUC
rnacentral:rRNA from 1 species